rnacentral:lncRNA from 1 species
AAAAAGAAAGAGAUUUCCUGUCAAUCUUUGCCCGGUGAAUCUGAUCAUAAUCCAACAAAAAAUCACGCUAGACAAAUCCACUACAUCAACAAAGCAAGGAGGUGAGUUUGAUUUUUGCACCCUGCUUUUUAUCAUUAAUUUUUUAAAUAACCCUAGAAUUUUUACAAAAAAACAGUGCUCAGCAUAACACAAUCGAAUUAGAGUCUUGUGGUUGGAUUUCUUGCUUUGUUGUUUGCUUUGAGGGCGCCGAUCAGGAACAGAGAGUCUUGGCUGAGUUUUAGCUGACUUGUGGCUCACUAUCUUGUGUCGUUGUCUGCAUUGAGAGUAUUGGCCGCUCUCGGCGUCGGCAUCAGCUUUAGCUGAGUUGUGGCUCAGUUUCUUGUGUCGUUGUCUGCGUUGAGAGUACUGGUCGGAGUCGGCAUCGGCAUCGGCAUCAGCAGCAGCCUGCUCAUAGUCGGGCCGAGGUGAGAAGAGUGGGUCGACGAUGGGGAACGACAGUGAGGUCUACGAGAGAACAAGAUGUGUUUGCUAGUUAUUCAUUGGAAAUUAAGAAAAAAUGGGAAGAAGAAGAAGAAGAAGAAGAGGGAUUUGGGGUUGAGAUUUACUCUUUAUUGCAAAUGUGAAGUAAAGAGAGAGAUGAAGGUGUGAGAGAGAGUGGCGAGAAAGAGAAAGAGUUACAGGGUAGAGAGAGGAAAUUGUGGGUGCAAGUGUGCAUAAGAGAGAACGCAGAUGGAGUAUAUUAAUUGUGUGGAUUUUGACUAGGGCUCUAUUUUUAAUUGAUAAUAUGGUUGGGCUUGCUCGUGAGUGCAGGUGAUGGUAAUGAAAUAUGAUUGGAGGAAUGGGCUAGAGUUUUAAUUGAUUAAUUGAAUAUAACUGAUUUAAUAUAAUUAUGUAUAGUCAGUAUUAAUUGUUCUAUUCUAUAUGUAAGUUAGGUUACUUUUAUUUUAUUUUGAGGCCUCUACAUAUAUUGAUAUUUCACUAAUCUUGUAGUAUAUUAUUGUCACUGAUGAAGAUAUAAUGCAACAACUUCAAAAUAUGAAAUUUAUAAAAAAGAGCAAUUUUAUGAGAUGGUUUGGUUUAGCUUUAUUUUUGUUACGAUGCCAUAUAUUUAGAAUAACAUUAUGAUUUUUAGGC